AGUCACUGACAUUAGAUACCCUGUAGUCCAGGGUGUAAACGCUGCGGGCUUGGUGUUGGGGGUCCUUUGAGGGCGCCCAGUGCCGGAGAGAAGUUGUUAAGCCUGCUGCUUGGGGAGUACGUCCGCAAGGAUGAAACUUAAGGAAUUGGCGGGGAGCACCGCAACGGGAGGAGCGUGCGGUUCAAUUGGAUUCAACGCCGGACAACUCACCAGGAGCGACGGUUACAUGAAGGCCAGGCUGAUGACCUUGCCUGAUUUUCCG
rnacentral:rRNA from 1 species